rnacentral:rRNA from 1 species
UACGGGGGGGGGUAAGCGUUGUUCGGAAUUACUGGGCGUAAAGGGCUCGUAGGCGGCCAACUAAGUCAUACGUGAAAUCCCUCAGCUUAACUGGGGAACUGCGUGUGAUACUGGAUGGCUUGGAUUUGGGAGAGGGAUGCGGAAUUCCAGGUGUAGCGGUGAAAUGCGUAGAUAUCUGGAGGAACACCGGUGGCGAAGGCGGCAUCCUGGACCAAUAUUGACGCUGAGGUGCGAAAGCGUGGGGAGCAAACAGGG